UUCUCCAAGGCUGUGCAUAAAAAAGAAGAUCCUUCUUCUUCCUUUUCUUUCUCUUAUUGGGAAAAACUUUUCUACUUCAAUUUUCUACUGUAAAACCAACAAAAAGAGCCCUCUUUGAUGUCCAAGAACCAGUAGCAAAAGCUCUCAAAAAUUUUUUUCAAGAGGGGAGGAGAAGAGGGGUUGGCAUCAUGUGGAAUUAGGGCAUCCAACUCUUGGACGCCCCUCCUUAUUUUUGGCGAUAAGAAAAAGAGGAGGGACGC
rnacentral:lncRNA from 1 species